UCCACUUGCAUAGUUAUUUUAAUCAGUAUGUUUCUGGUUAUGUGAGCAGACCUGCUGUAAAACGUUAUUCAACAACAUGCUUGAAAAAGUGAUAGUUACUGUAGAAGAAGGAAAAGUACAGGGCUUCAAAACAAAAACCGCUUAUUCCGGAGCAGAAUUUUAUUCCUUUCUCGGAAUACCUUAUGGACAAUCAACUGGAGGGGUAGCUCGUUUCAAAGAUCCAGUAAGAGUAAAACCAUGGAACAAUAUUUUGGACGCAACUGUUGAAAAAGGAGGCUGCCUACAAUAUUCAUUAAGGCAGAAAAAAAUCACUGGUUCAGAGGACUGCCUAUAUAACAACAUCUACACACCGAAGCUCCCAUCAAAAGUAACUCCUUUGAAAGCAGUCAUUGUGAAUUUUCACCCUGGAGGAUGGUUUAAUGGUUCCCCAGAUCCAUCAUAUUAUGGAAGUCCAGACUUCAUUAUGCACAAUGAUGUGGUUUAUGUAUGCGUUGGACACAGAUUGCAUAUUUUAGGUUAUUAGGUCAUUUGAAUUUGCAUGUAAAAGCAUGUUCCGGAAAUCAAAGUUUAAAAGAUAGUAUACUAAGCCUACAAUGGAUCAAGAAAAAUAUUGCAGCUUUUGGAGGUGACCCAGAUAAUGUUACAAUAAUGGGAAGUAGCAGUGGUUCUUCAUUAGUGCAUUUAUUGCUAUUAUCGUCUUUGGCCCAUGGUCUGUACCACAAAGCAAUUCUUAUGGGGUGUUACGUAUUUUGCCCAUUAUUGAAUUCUCCAAUGGACCAUGUAGCAACAGCUUAUGACAUUGCCAAGAUGAUUAAUUAUGAUGGACGACAGGACAACCAUCAAAGAUUGCUUAGUUUUUAUCGAAAAAUUGAUUUUGUUAGUUUAUUUGCCGCAAGACCCGAGCAUUUUUUCAACAGAGUAUAAACAUUUUGGUACCUAUAUGAUGCAUCCUCUAUUCCUAAAACUACUUGGAUACUUUGAAGCAAUUUUCAUUUUUCAGAAUACAUUGCAAGUUUAUCCUGCAUCGCCUAUUCUGUUUACUCCAGAACCUGGAGAAAAUUCGCCUUUACAUGUGCUGUACCAAAAACUUAUCCCGUCGAUGAAUAGAGUGUAGUGCGAGAAAAAGUAAACUUUUGUUUCCUCUAGGGGGAAGAAAAGUGACUUCUUUUAGAAUUUAGGGCAGUGCACCUACCUAACAGACCGCGUACCUAUCCGCUACGGCAUGUAUAGGGACGUUGUUAGGUAGGGAUUCGUUAGCUGUGAUUGUGGCUGGCGACGCGGUGGCUCUACGUGUCGGAAUUCAGUCUAUGUACUUCGCUUACGAGUGCAAGUACAUAGCUCAUAGGGUUACCUAUCCGCUAGCUACGGAAUAGGGAAUCCGACCUUGUACCUACACCUUUUGGGUAGGUAUGGAGUGAGGGUGCUCCUGUCUCUCGGAUGCUUUCGUGCCCGGUACCGAGGGGUAUAGGACUGGUAGGGUAGCGCUGGGAUAAUCCCAUUCAUUGUUAACUAUUUUUGUUUGCUUUUUGUUCCUUAUUUUUUGCCUUUUUGUUCCUUUGUUUUAACCCAUAUAUUGUCUUGUUUUAUUCCUGAAAUAUAUGGGAUUUACCAGUGCUUAAAAA